UACAGAGGUCUCAAGCGUUGUUCGGAUUCAUUGGGCGUAAAGGGUGCGUAGGCGGCGGGGCAAGUCUGAUGUGAAAUCCCGGGGCUCAACCCCGGAACUGCAUUGGAUACUGCUCUGCUUGAGCACUGGAGAGGAGACUGGAAUUUACGGUGUAGCAGUGAAAUGCGUAGAUAUCGUAAGGAAGACCAGUGGCGAAGGCGGGUCUCUGGACAGUUCCUGACACUGAGGCACGAAGGCCAGGGGAGCAAACGGG
rnacentral:rRNA from 1 species